UUCAUCCAGUUAACAAUAUAUAGCAGUUCCUUGUUUUAUGUUAAUAAAGCAAGUUUUUCAUUGCGGGAAAAGAGCAAGCAAUUCCUUCUUUGCAGAAUGCAGAAAAGAGCAGUCACCUGUUCUGACUGAUCUGAGCAUAGCAUACUUUUAUAAUCCUAAUUAAUACAUCAGUAUGAUGCAUUGUAUUAUAACUUCAGACUUAAAUCUUGUAAAUGGUCUACCAAAUGUGACAGCCAAAGUCAAGAUAAAUUAAUUGGUAAAUUAUUUAUCACGCUUGUGAGUGCGCAUUUAGUUUCAGUUUUGGUUUCACUCGCUCCGUGUCCAAUAAAACAAUCCACGUACUCCGUUUUCUGAUAAAAAAAAAAUAUCUUCCUUUAAUCUUGAUUGUCAGUUCAAUAAAACAAAUAAAACUAAAAAAGCAAAAUAUGAUCUUAAAUCUUCAAUAUCACGGAUGCGGUAAAGAAAACUGUGCAACUCCACUGUAUUCCAAAGAGCGCACUGCCGCAAAGCUUCACAGUCGUGAUUCUUAAAGAGCCAGUAAACUAUUUUAACAUAUUACAUAUUUUACAGAAUAUUUAUCCAAAUGGUAACAUAAAUAAAGUAAGAUUACAAAUGAAGCAAAUUCAAACAAAAAUAUUCAAAAACUGAAUCGGUUUCACUCGCUCCGUGUCCAAUAAACAAUCCACGUACUCCGUUUUCUAGAUAAAAAUAUCUUCCUUUAAUCUUGAUUGUCAGUUCAAUAAAACAAAUAAAACUAAAAAAGCAAAAUAUGAUCUUAAAUCUUCAAUAUCACGGAUGCGGUAAAGAAAACUGUGCAACUCCACUGUAUUCCAAAGAGCGCACUGCCGCAAAGCUUCACAGUCGUGAUUCUUAAAGAGCCAGUAAACUAUUUUAACAUAUUACAUAUUUUUACAGAAUAUUUAUCCAAAUGGUAACAUAAAUAAAGUAAGAUUACAAAUGAAGCAAAUUCAAACAAAAAUAUUCAAAAACUGAAUCUAAUCAAAAUAGGCUCCUACAAUGUGUAUAUGUAAGAGAAGAAUGGGUUGCUGCAUCCCAGUGUGCCUACUACUAUACUACGCCAUUGACACAUCUCGCUGCUGACAGAAGCUGCCUUUCCUUGCCUCUCUGCUGUUCACGCCCGUUCUUUCGAGCCACCUUCAGCGUUCAGCAAAGACGUCAGCUGACGCCAUCCAGCUAGUCUAAAAAGCAAUUUUU
rnacentral:lncRNA from 1 species